AAGCAUGUUUCCAAGGGCUGUGGCUGCUUGUAGCCGUGGAGUCCCCAAAUGCAUGCCAGAGUAAUGGAGAGAGUUUGACAGCGCAGGUCAGCACAGAACCUGCAGCUGCCAUUCAGCUUUCCUGUAUAU
rnacentral:snoRNA from 1 species